rnacentral:rRNA from 1 species
CAGUAGCCGCGGGAAUACGUAGGUGGCAAGCGUUGUCCGGAAUUAUUGGGCGUAAAGGGUUCGCAGGCGGUUUCUUAGGUCUGAUGUGAAAGCCCCCGGCUCAACCGGGGAGGGUCAUUGGAAACUGGGAAACUUGAGUGCAGAAGAGGAGAGUGGAAUUCCACGUGUAGCGGUGAAAUGCGUAGAGAUGUGGAGGAACACCAGUGGCGAAGGCGACUCUCUGGUCUAUAACUGACGCUGAGGAGCGAAAGCGUGGGGAGCGAACAGGAUUAGAUACCCCUGUAGUCCCUGUCUCUUAUAC